rnacentral:rRNA from 1 species
CCUACGGGUGGCAGCAGUGAGGAAUAUUGGUCAAUGGGCGAGAGCCUGAUCCAGCCAAGUCGCGUGAGGGAGUACUGCCCUAUGGGUUGUAAACCUCUUUUGUCGGGGAGCAAAAGCCGGACGUGUCAGGCUGUGAGAGUACCCGAUGAAAAAGCAUCGGCUAACUCCGUCCAAGCAGCCGCGGUACUACGGAGGAUGCGAGCGUUUUCCGGAUUUAUUGGGUUUAAAGGGUGCGCGGUCGGAUUUUUAAGUCAGCGGUCAAAUCGUGGUGCUGAACCCCAUCCAGCCGUUGAAACUGGGGAUCUAGAGUGUGCGAGAGGCAUGCGGAAGGCGUGGUGUAGCGGUGAAAUGCAUAGAUAUCACGCAGAACCCCGAUGGCGAAGGCAGCAUACCGGUGCACAACUGACGUUCAGGCACGAAAGCGUGGGUAUCGAACAGGAUUAGAUACCCGUGUAGUC